UCACCUGAUGGGUGUUAUUGAGAGAAGA
rnacentral:piRNA from 1 species